rnacentral:lncRNA from 1 species
AUGACUUUUGAGCCCCUUUUGGUCACCUUUAUGCCCCUUUGGCAUUCACACCAGGCCUGGCAGAUGCUAAAUACUCAUGGUGAAGAUGGAGAAUUCAGUGAAUCAUCUGUAAUUUUCCAGGGCCACUUUGCAAGGCUGGAUAAGUAAUCUGGAUUAACCGUGGCUGGUAAUGUGAGGUCCAACUGCUUUUUUGUAUCCCUCCCUACUUUAUUUCCUUGGACUCCAACCCCAAUAUAAAAGAGGUCUUUUAGUAUAAUAAUGUAGCAAAGUCAAGUUUACAGGCAAUGAGAAAGGUCUGCCUGAGCAGCUGAUUCUCAUCUUGAUGCAUCUGAUGAGGGCUUGAGAGGGCUACUGGGCCCUGGCACAUUACAUGGUGGGUGCCCGUUGAGUGCACACAUGCUCAGUUGCUCAGUCAUGUCUGACUCUUUGCAACCCCACAGACUGUAGCCCACCAGGCUCCUCUGUCCAUGGGAUUCUCCAGGCAAGAAUACUGGAGUGGGUUGCCAUUUCCUCCUCCAGGGGAUCUUCCAGAUCCAGGGAUUGAACUCGCUUCGCCUGCAGCUCCUGCAUUGGCAGAUGGACUCUUGACCUCUCCGCCACCUGGGAAUAAUCUGGGUCUCAGGGUCGACUAUUUCUUGGGAGAAAUGGCAAAAUGAGCGUCUGACAAGUUCUCCUGGGGCUGCUGGCUUGAAAAGGAGGCAGUAGUAAGAGAAAGAAGACGGGGCCAGGAUCUCUGCAUAGACAAGGCACCCAUAUCCUUAAAGGGAGACCCUUCCAGCUGGAGGAUGAGCAAGUGUUGGGUGGGCGAGUAGGAGGGGUGGGGGUUAGUCCGUGACAAACCCUCCUGGGCCUGUGGUUUACUAACCACCCUUCGACCCUGCCCAACCUGGGGCUCUGGCUUUAUUCCUCCCUGGGUUCAAUUUCUAAGAAAGGACUUGAUGUUCUUCCUGGAAAUGGCCUUGCUCUGGACUCAGGAAGGAGAUGGCUUGUCCAGAUGUCCAGCUGGCCCCAUUAAUAAGGCUUUGAACAGAGCCCUACAAAAAUAGAUCUUUCUAAGGCAUUUCUUCUGUGUCCCCUUUCUGCUCUGAAGAUCAAAUCCCUCACCCAGGUG